AUUGAACGCUGGCGGCAGGCCUAACACAUGCAAGUCGAACGGUAACAGGAAGAAUCUUGCUUCUUUGCUGACGAGUGGCGGACGGGUGAGUCAUGUCUGGGAAACUGCCUGAUGGAGGGGGAUAACUACUGGAAACGGUAGCUACUACCGCAUAACGUCGCAAGACCAAAGAGGGGGACCUUCUGGCCUCUUGCCAUCGGAUGUGCCCAGAUGGGAUUCGCUAGUAGGUGGGGUAACGGCUCACCUAGGCGACGAUCCCUAGCUGGUCUGAGAGGAUGACCAGCCACACUGGAACUGAGACACGGUCCAGACUCCUACGGGAGGCAGCAGUGGGGAAUAUUGCACAAUGGGCGCAAGCCUGAUGCAGCCAUGCCGAGUGUAUGAAGAAGGCCUUCGGGUUGUAAAGUACUUUCAGCGGGGAGGAAGGGAGUAAAGUUAAUACCUUUGCUGAUUGACGUUACCCGCAGAAGAAGCACCGGCUAACUCCGUG
rnacentral:rRNA from 1 species